UGCAAGUGCUAAGUGGGUAACGUAUCCCUUCAUGGGCAACGUUAACCACUUAGCACUUUCCAGCCCACCAUGGAGCUUAACAAAAAGAGACUGGAGAGGACCAGCCGAGUAGGCGAGCCGAAUGACUGGAGGCGACCACGACGGCAGCUACUGUUGGAGCGGCUCUGGUCGCCACGGCAUUCUGCAUCGUGACGUCCAAAACGUGGUGGGAGUUUUGGGGGCUCACCCCAACUUGGUGUCGUGGGCGUAAGCAGGGGCAGAAGCAGGGACAGGAAUGGGCGAGGGCGUGGAAAUGGGCGGAUAAUUUUUAAUGACUUAACGACUUCACACGCUUGACUGAACUGUGACCAGUCAAGCUUGUGGCCCGAAAGAUUGGAGGCGACCGUGAAGACCUCCGCUGCUGGUGCAGUUCCGGUCGCCAUGACAUUCUACAUCAGGACAUUUAAAGCUUGAAGAGAGAACAGGAGCUCACCCUAAGUUGGUACCG